ensembl:lncRNA
UGUCCAACAAAGCUGUUAUUUUAUCAGGAAGAACUGAAAGCUCAUUUCAGAAACUGAAGCUUCUCAGGAAUGAACCAAAUGAUUUGGUAGACAUGCCUUGAAAUUUAUCAGAAAAUUACGAGUAUUGUUUUGUUAGGAGAUAGGAAUUAACUAAUGUUUCUAAAAUGCCUGACUUUAGAUCAAGAAUUUCAGCAACUUGAUGCACUCAAGAUGGAGAACCCAUAUUUUUUUUUUUUUAAACUGCCACCCUCACAACUUUGUUCUAACUCCGUCUCCACUGAAUCCCAACCUGAAGGUUUUAUGCAGCAGUCCCCGAUUCAAAGCGUCCUCCUGCAAGCAAGUCACUAAAACAAAGACUUGUGGGCCCUGGGAGAAGCAGGGAAGGGACAUUUGAAGACUUUGCCUACUGAUGGCAGGAUUGAACCUGUUCCCCACAGCCGGAGACGCACUAUAACCUGUGCUCCACACCUUCACAAGCACGAAGAACAAGGCAAGUUUGUUUUCCAAGUUGACUAACGUUGAUAGCAGCCAUUCCAAACAUGGAAAGGAUUUACUUACUCAGUUCACUUCCUGGUGUUACAAGGCACUGAAACUUGC